ACCCGCAGCUACACCACCACCACCACCCAUCGCCACCAUCACUCCAUCGGAUUUCAAAUUUUGAAUCCCCUCAGCCAGAUUCUGCUUCUCUCCCCGGUGACCCACUUGCGACGCCCCAUCGCACAAACGCCGUCGGGACUGACUUCGUCGCCGGUCUCAAGUUCGCCGCCAUCCAAAACAAUCAAUCCUCAUGGGGAAUCUCUCACAGAUCUGUUAUUCAGCUUUCGCUCCGCUCCCUCCGAUCCGGUCUACGUUCCAGUCUAGGGAACGCCAGAGGAAGAUGAAUGUUGGUCGCCAACAAGGCACUCCGGUGCUCCUUCAUCGUUAGAGGAUUGGGCUCCUUCCCCGUCUAGCCACGGACAAGUGAAGUGCCUGAGUCAAAUUCAGAUGUCUCGUCUACUCCGUGGAUUGCAAGGUACUCCCUCCGUCCGGAAAAAGUUGUCACCGUGUACAUUUUGCAGAAAACACCCCCAGCUUCUCCCGACACAACCCGCACUCCACGCCGCCCAUUCUUCCCCUCGCUACCCCAUUCAUUCGUUGCUUGCUCGCCGGCGACGCCGUGACGCCGCGCCGCCUCGAUCCCUUCCUCCCUCCCCACGCCCCACGUCGCCUUGCCCCUCCCUCCCCACCUCCGCCCACGCCGGUGCCACCUUCUUCCCCCAUGCCUCGUUUGAAGCUUCGAAUUUUGCCCGAAGGUUGGAUUUUUGCGCGGCGGCCUAGCGAGGCGUCCAACCCCGAGGACCACUGGCCAUGGCGGCCGCCGUCCAUGUCUACCUCCUCCGUCAGCCUCCUCCUCGAGUGCCCCCUCUCCGUCUGCCGCCUCGUCAACCCGGCCUCUUCUCCUGCCAUGGCGCUCCCCCCUCCCGCCUUCCAGUCUCCGCUCCUCCCUCCCCGUCGGCACCUGCCAACUACCCGGCGACCCCUAAUGGCCCCCUCGUCCGACCACCUGCUCGCCGUCAACCAUGAAGCCCGCCCCCUCCAUGGACGUCAUCGACCCAAGCACCGGGAAGCACGGGUGGUCAAGGUGAAGGAGCUCACCGUCGAGCUCGCCGGAGCACUACGCGCUCAAGGCGUCCACAACACCUCCACGUGCUCAAGUUCAGAGCUCACCGGAGCUUCAGAUCCAGAUGAAGGCUCAAUGCUGCAUUGCUGACUGGCACAUCAGGGGCAAGCAGCAGACCAGAAAAUUACAAAUGAUUUCUUCGCGGAGCGGAAGAUUGGUGGAGGUCCAUUCGGAAACGUUUACAAGAUGAUGGCAGAGUGAUUGCGGUGAAGAAACUUCAGGAAAAUGCACCGAUGCCGCCUGACAAGACAUUCAACAAUGAGGAACAGAGGCGAAGUACCAGAGGCGUCGCGUGUCGGGGUCGGGGGCGGGGAAAAAAAGAAGGUUCAUUCUAGUUUCUAUAACAGGUUAUGCUAGUGAAUUCAAAUUAUGCUUUGUUUGAUUCAGAUUAUGCUAGUGAAUUCAGUUACUUCACCUUACCUUCACUUCACCAAACAGCGAGAGGAGGGUGCCCAAUGGCCCUGAUCCUAUCCACAACAGACACAGGACACUGAAUGGAGUAUGAUUGACAGACACAGAACACUGUAAAUUUCAGAUAACAUUAGCAGUAGAUCAGCACUGCAAUUGACAAUUUUAAUACUCCAAUUAACACUGCAAUUGACACUGAUGGAGUACUUCAUUGACAAACUGAAAUUGAUACUGCAAUCGGCACUGAAUUGAUAGUGCAAUUGGCACUGCACCUGCAGCCAACAGCAGCAGCAGAGGUAAUCAGCAGUCGAGGUGGUCGAGGGCAGAGGCAAUCAGCAGAAGCAAUCAGCAGAGGUAAUCAGCAGUCGAGGGCAGGCGGCAGUGGCAUCAGCAGGUCUACGUGGUUGUCUCGCCGCCGGGGAAGAUCCGCCUUGCCCUGCCUGCCGGAUUCUUCAAGAGGCACAAGAGGGGAGCGGCGACCGGGGUUGGCAGCGGCGGCUGGGGUUGCCGCGGGGGGUGAGGAACCGGCGAGUAGGGCACAAGCAGGGCCAGGGACGCGAGCAGGGCUGCGAGGAGGAGGCGCCCGUCGAGGUGGUCGCCUUCGAGGAGCAGCCUCAGCUGGGCGGCAGGGCAGCUCGCCUCCGUGCAGGCGGCCCACGUUCGCAGCGGCGGAGCAACCGCAGGUGGGCGACGGCGCAGGUGGUCGCCCGCUCUUUCUACGGCGGCUGCCGGCGGUGGCUACGACGGCCGCUUGGUCGAAGGAGGAAGAAGCAUAGGUGAGGGGGGAUUAGCACUAGAUUUAAAACCGGAAGGAGUUUUCUGUAAAAUUUGAAAUGAACUAAGCUCUGGACAACUUUUUUCGGACGGAGGGAGUACAGUUCUUGUUACUACUCGAUUUUUUCCAAUCUAGGUGGAUGCCCAGUACAGAUUUAGGGGGGCUUAUUUUCUUCUAUUAUUGGGCCCGCUGUCCCGGAUGUCUAAUAUCGAAUUAGGAAAUUUUCGUGAUUUGGAGUUUGUCGUUAAACCAACAGACCAGUCAAGAGUUUGAUUCUCUUGCAAGAGCUUACAACUUAUACUCUUCAGAAAAAA